UGCUACAUCUAAGUAUAGUUGGUCUCCCAAGAAAAUACAAAAUGGGCUGGUUGGAUUAACUGAUACAAAAACCAAUUAUGUUUUUCAUGGUGUUAUAGAAUAAUAUAAACAUAGAGGUGUAACUGAAAAUCCAGGUAGAUUAAGGAAAACAUAUAAAAAACAAAAAUUAAAAAAGACAAUAAUCAAAGCAUAAAGUCGAGACCUUUGCAAGGUCAGCCUUUGCUCAAUUUUGCUUGGAGAGCAAAACACAAAGCUUGAAGCUUUCACAUUUGACGGCUACAGAGGGAGAAAGAUAAAUUCGUUUUCUUUUCUCCUUUUGGUUCAUCUGGGGAUCACGAAACAAGAUGAACGAAGUCAUAACUCCACACCAUUUUUGAAGGUGAGACUUUUGCUAGUCUCGUUGAUCUUGCUUCUCUUAUUUAUUAUCCAAUGGAAAUUUCACUUCUUUCUUAGCAAUAAAGGGCUCAAAUUUGUGGGUUU
rnacentral:lncRNA from 1 species